GGCGGCAUGGUCGAGUGGUAAGGUGAAGGACUGCAACUCCUUUUUCUGCAGUUCAAAAUCGGGUAUCGCCU